rfam:Cyclobacterium marinum DSM 745, complete genome.
GGUGCAGGCUGGUUUGUCGCUGUUCUUGAUGUUCGCAUCAGGAAAAGAGGAAAGUCCGGGCAACAUAGAGUACCAUACUUCCUAACGGGAAGGUGUUUUGGUAGGAAUACCAAAAUAACAGACAGUGCCACAGAAAAUAAACCGCCCCUGCAGGUCUAACCAAAUGGGGUAAGGGUGAAAAGGUAGGGUAAGAGCCUACCGGGUACCGGGCGACCGGUAUUGCAGGGUAAACCUUAUGGGUUGAAAGACCAAAUAGGCUCCGGUCAUUGGGCUACUCGUCCAAAUCUUUCAAGAUAGCCGGAGUGGGUAGGUCGUUGGACCUUUUCUGUGAAGAAAAGGCUAGAUAAAUGGCAAACACUUUGUGAGAAGUUACAGAACCCGGCUUAUAAGCCUGCACUUUUU